rnacentral:tRNA from 1 species
GGAAGUGUGCCCGAAAGAUAAGGACCUCCUUGAUAGAGAGGACAAUAAGGGUUCGAACCCCCUCGCUUCCU